CUGUUGUUGGCGUGACGGUAUCCAACCAGAAAGCCACGGCUAAUUACGUGCCAGCAGCCGCGGUAAUACGUAGGUGGCAAGCGUUAUCCGGAUUUAUUGGGCGUAAAGCGAGCGCAGGCGGUUUUUUAAGUCUGAUGUGAAAGCCCUCGGCUUAACCGAGGAAGUGCAUCGGAAACUGGGAAACUUGAGUGCAGAAGAGGACAGUGGAACUCCAUGUGUAGCGGUGAAAUGCGUAGAUAUAUGGAAGAACACCAGUGGCGAAGGCGGCUGUCUGGUCUGUAACUGACGCUGAGGCUCGAAAGCAUGGGUAGCGAACAGGAUUAGAUACCCUGGUAGUCCAUGCCGUAAACGAUGAAUGCUAGGUGUUGGAGGGUUUCCGCCCUUCAGUGCCGCAGCUAACGCAUUAAGCAUUCCGCCUGGGGAGUACGACCGCAAGGUUGAAACUCAAAGGAAUUGACGGGGGCCCGCACAAGCGGUGGAGCAUGUGGUUUAAUUCGAAGCAACGCGAAGAACCUUACCAGGUCUUGACAUCUUUUGAUCACCUGAGAGAUCAGGUUUCCCCUUCGGGGGCAAAAUGACAGGUGGUGCAUGGUUGUCGUCAGCUCGUGUCGUGAGAUGUUGGGUUAAGUCCCGCAACGAGCGCAACCCUUAUGACUAGUUGCCAGCAUUUAGUUGGGCACUCUAGUAAGACUGCCGGUGACAAACCGGAGGAAGGUGGGGAUGACGUCAAAUCAUCAUGCCCCUUAUGACCUGGGCUACACACGUGCUACAAUGGAUGGUACAACGAGUUGCGAGACCGCGAGGUCAAGCUAAUCUCUUAAAGCCAUUCUCAGUUCGGACUGUAGGCUGCAACUCGCCUACACGAAGUCGGAAUCGCUAGUAAUCGCGGAUCAGCACGCCGCGGUGAAUACGUUCCCGGGCCUUGUACACACCGCCCGUCACACCAUGAGAGUUUGUAACACCCGAAGCCGGUGGCGUAACCCAUAUAUGCGUAGAAACAG
rnacentral:rRNA from 1 species